AACUAGACAGACCGUUUUUCCCUUCAAUUGCAUAGGUGCUAUUGCGCGACCUGCAACCAGGAAGUAAACACUCGCUUACAUUAAAUUAUAUGCGCUAUCGUGCGACCUGUAACCAGAAGGGAAAACACUCGCGUGAAACCAGAGAGUGGUGAUAGCAUUUCUACUACUUGACAGUACUACAGCUAUGCGUAGCACGCCUCCGAACGCUUCCGAACAUCGCCGAAACUCCACCGGAUGUUUGGAGAUGACGUAUCUCCCCUCAGAUGCCGGCAAAAUUACCUUGAUAAGUUACCUGUUUUCCGUCUUGUAAUCGUUGCUAUUAAAUUAAAAAUGUCUCUUUUUACCUAAUUACUUGCUUUACUAUUUUUUUUUUUUUUUUUCGCCGCUUUCUUACGACGUCUUUCUGGUGGUGUCGGGUCAGCCAUCUCUUCUUCGUUCGUUACCAAACUCCGGUUGCAUUGUGGGAUAGCGUAGUGAACCCCGUUGUUUACUGUGGUGGUAGCACGCGGUCGGACGCGCUAUAUUUGUGGCGUACUACAAAAUGCAUACUUUAUAGCAGUCAAGUGGGGGAGAAUCAGUGUGUGCCGUCUUGAUUUGAGCCUUGCAAAUUCGUCAAUGACCUCAUCCUCAGUGAUAUCUCCAACCAGCUCUCUUUCUAUUGACAGUACUGCCAAUUCAUUGAGCCUCUCCUGGCCCAUAGUGGACCUAAGCCACGUAUGAAGUCGGCGUAGAGCACUAAAGGACCGCUCACAGCUGCAACUGCUGACAGGGAUAGUCAGUGCCACCUGCAAGAUGGCCCUCAGUGACGGGAACAUCAUAGAGUCCAGGAGCUUGAAGACACUGAGGGUGUCCGGGAUGGAAUCUGGAUCCUUCCUGCUCAGGAAGCUCUUUGCCACCAAGACCUCUUCUGGGACCAGCUGUAUGUGGUAGUGUGUAGCCAGUUUCUCCAGUGACUGCAGACAGAGGAAGGAUUUGGAGGCUGGGUGGCAUGCCUGGAUUCCAUCCAUUAGCUCUCCCGCAACAGUGGAAAACCGGUGGCCCAGUUCAUUGAUCAUCCGAUCAAUGCACGGGAAGAAAAGCCCCUGCUUCAGACACUCUGAGUCGUUAAGCAGGUCAGAGCCCGACCCAGUAGACGCCUCCACAACAAAAUCAUCCAUUCUCCUCUGCUUUCUCCUUGGAGCAGGAGAGGGCUCGGGAAGGUUGUGAUCAGAGCAGAGCUGCUUUGUGACCUCAUAGAGUUCCUCAGCCACCUGUUCAGUUCUUUGACUGACCAAGGUGUCGUGGAUGGCACUCUUGAAUUGGACUGCCCUUGCAAGGUCAAUGGAUGUCCCCUGCAGGAACCUGUGGAAACCCUCUGUGAUACCCAAAAGCCUUUGGAUAACCACCAGUAAAUAUACUGUUGUCCUCUUUGACAAUUUAGAGAGAAGCCCCACUGCUAUUGGUGUAUUCAGCAUCUGCAGACUAGCAAUUACUGCAGGGAAAUUCCUCAAAAGGGCAUUUAUUGAGUUGACCUGGCAUGACCAUCGCGUUGAGGAUAUCUGGACCAGUUCACGCCGCUCAAUGUUCAGCUCUUUCUGCACAGCCACCAACUGAUCAUGGCUUUUGAUCGAGGUGCUGAAACAGGAAUACAGGCUUUCCAGCAUGUCAAAAAAAAAGCUUGCUUCCGGAAUAGCCUUGCAAGUAUGACAGAGCACCAAGUUCAGCUCAUGUGCAUAGCAGUGCACGUAGAUGGCCUCAGGGUGUUUUUCACGGAAACGAGUUUGCACGCCUCGCACUGACCCGCUCAUCACCGCUGCGCCAUCAUAUGACUGGGCAACAACUUUGAGACCGUCGAUGCCAUGUGAUCCCAGGACCUCCUCAAGGGCAUUUGUUAUGCUCUCCGCGUCAUACCCUCCCAGUCUUCUCAAACAAAGGAAUCGCUCCCUUAUGCGUUCCUGAAAGACGUAACGGACACAAACAGCAAGCUGCUCAGUGUUUCCAUCCUUGGCCUCAUCAGCCAUGAUGGAAAACAUUUUAGCUUCCCUCACCUCAUCCCUUAUCCUUGAUGUGAGCAGUGACGAGGAACACUUAAUGAAGUCAUUUUGGGAGGAAGGUGAAAGAUAGGUGGCAUUAGCAGGAGCAUUAUACUGUUGCAGGAAGGGAUCAAAUUUGGACAACAGCUGAACGCAUUCAAGUAAGUUUCCUUGGUUGGAGCUGCCCUCACCCUCGCAGUGCCCCCUGAAUGCAAUGCCUUGCUUGGCCAAGAAGAGCAUCACAGAAACAACGCGAUGGAGAUACAGUCUUCUUUCUUUGAUCUCCGCUGCACUAGCAGCAAGUAUUUGCUCGGUUACAUCCCCAUGGACCUUGGUUGCCUUUUAACCUAUCCAGGCCAUCAUGGAAGCCUUGUGAAGAGCCGUCUUCUCAUGUUCCCUAAAAGAAUCAAGAGCCCUCUUCCAAUUACAAUAGCCAGUGGUGGCCAGGCCAUCUUUAUUUGACCUCUUCUCCGGUUUGCUGAACACCCGACAGCAAAAACAUAAGGCAGCAUUUUUGGCUACAGAAUAUUCAAGCCAGUUGAAUGAUUCGUACCAGAUCUUUUGGAAUGACCUCUUCUGGAGUCCAAAAUAGGUAGAUGGGAAGUUGAUGUCUUUCACCUGCUUCGGACCUGUGUCUGGACUUCCUAAUGUGCCCUCUCCUGUCCUUCCCUCAUCACUCCUCUCUGGCUCAUCUGUGAUGCAACAAAAUUAAGAAGCAAACUGACACUCGGACAGUCUAUGCUGUGAUAGUAGCACUUCUAAAGGUAGAGGAGCCAUGUCAGGUAACCUUUUGACCCAGAAAAUAUACACAACUAGCUGUGCAAAAUAGACAUUUUGGUGAGGAUCUCGGAGGUGACCAUGUGAGAACAAAAAAAAUGACGACAGGUCCAACAAACAGGAUUUUAGGACCAAGACAGUCAAUGGUAAGUGUCUGUGCAAUGAAUAUUGCACAGAGUAUUUUAAAUUAGACCACCAGUGCUCAGUGAUCAGUGCAUGUUGUUCUCUUGUCUUUCUAACCAGGUGCCUCGUCUUUGAACCAUGACGGUCAACAUGACACUGUUGGCCGCUUGAGGACAACACUCCCCGUAACUGAAAAUGUACAAAGGUGAAAAUGUACAUGUAAUGUGCUCUAGAUAGAUGGACGCUUUACGGGCUAAUUCAAUUUGGCCCUCCAAUCUUCGUGUUUCUGCCUAAUCCAUCCAUACAGUUAAGUGCAAGAUGCACACACCCAGGUGCUUGCCUGGUAAAGAAAAACUAAUCAGAGGGAAACAAAAGAAAGACCUGCACACAUUCUAAAAACCUCCCACAAAUCUUAAUUUCACAACAUUUCCAUCAGGAUCUCAUUUGCUCUGUGAUUUUAAGGAAGAUCCUAAGUGAUUGAAAUGUUAGGAUUUGUGGGAGCAGCAAGAAUGUGUGCAGGUCUUUCUUUUUCUUCUUUCUUAUUCUUAAAACUCUGCCUCUUGAUCUCAAGCAGGCGUGUGUUGAAUGAUACAAUGAAUGUGAUUGUGAAUGUUACAAUACGUUGUGUUGCUUUAGAUCACUGAAGCUUAAUUUAAAUAAUGAGGGUUAAAAAUAAUCUUCCCAGACUGUUUCUGUUACUUGCUUAUGCUGUAGGCAAGUUGUGUAAGAAGCUUAUCUCUAUAUAAAUCUGAGCUGUACAUGAAUCUGUUAAUGAAGUCUCAUUUCGACUCCUUCCUCCACUUCACUAUUCAUGUUCUGUUGCUUGCAGUUAACUACAGCCGCCCUUCCUGGGUAAUGCCACCACCAAUCCCUGGUCAUCCAUUGAAGCCAUCUCUCUCACUCUGUACAGUCACACUGUUUCUCUUAGGUAAAAUCAAACCAGUGGGAUGUUAGAUUGAAAACCUCCAAAGCAAUGUAUUAAAAAUUGAAAGAAC
ensembl:lncRNA